rnacentral:rRNA from 1 species
GCGUAAGCGCACGCAGGCGGUUUGUUAAGUCAGAUGUGAAAUCCCCGCGCUUAACGUGGGAACUGCAUUUGAAACUGGCAAGCUAGAGUCUUGUAGAGGGGGGUAGAAUUCCAGGUGUAGCGGUGAAAUGCGUAGAGAUCUGGAGGAAUACCGGUGGCGAAGGCGGCCCCCUGGACAAAGACUGACGCUCAGGUGCGAAAGCGUGGGGAGCAAACAGGAUUAGAUACCCUGGUAGUCCACGCUGUAAACGAUGUCGACUUGGAGGUUGUGCCCUUGAGGCGUGGCUUCCGGAGCUAACGCGUUAAGUCGACCGCCUGGGGAGUACGGCCGCAAGGUUAAAACUCAAAUGAAUUGACGGGGGCCCGCACAAGCGGUGGAGCAUGUGGUUUAAUUCGAUGCAACGCGAAGAACCUUACCUACUCUUGACAUCCAGAGAAUUCGCUAGAGAUAGCUUAGUGCCUUCGGGAACUCUGAGACAGGUGCUGCAUGGCUGUCGUCAGCUCGUGUUGUGAAAUGUUGGGUUAAGUCCCGCAACCAGCGCAACCCUUAUCCUUUGUUGCCAGCGCGUA